rnacentral:misc_RNA from 1 species
AUAUCCUGCUUUAUAUCCUCCUGCUGGAGUUUAUGCUCAUCCUAAUAUGCCUAUGACUCCAAACACACUGCAGGCAAAUCCAGAAUCAGAUAGUAAGGCACCAGAUGGUAAGGACCAGAAUACAAGCAAAAAAUUGAAGGGAUGUUCAGGUGGCAAGGCAGGAGAAAGUGGGAAAGCGGCCUCAGGUUCUGGAAAUGAUGGUGGUGCCACAAGAAGUGCUGAAAGCGGAAGUGAAGGUUCAUCAGACGAAAAUGAUGAAAAUGAUAACCAUGAAUUUUCUGCUGACAAAAAUAGAAGCUUUGAUCUAAUGCUUGCUAAUGGAGCCAAUGCUCAGACCAAUCCUGCAACAGGGAAUCCAGUCGCUAUGCCCGCACCUAAUCUGAAUAUUGGGAUGGAUUUGUGGAACGCACCUUCUGGCGGUCCCGGAAUGAUCAAAAUGCGAUCAAAUCAAUCUGGUGUCUCGCCAGCUCCUGGGAUGGGACGUGAAUGGAUUCAGGAUGAACGUGAACUUAAAAGGCAAAAGAGAAAGCAGUCUAAUAGAGAAUCAGCUCGGAGGUCGAGAUUACGCAAGCAGGCUGAGUGUGAAGAGCUACAACAUAAGGUAGAGACAUUGAGCAAUGAGAAUCAUGGACUCAAAGAGGAGUUGCGAAAGGUCUCUGAGGAAUGUGAGAAGCUUACCUCGGAGAAUAAUUCAAUAAAGGAUGAGUUGACGAGGUUGUAUGGGCCAGAGGCUGUGUCCAAGCUAGAGAGUAAUGCCAACGCCAUGCGUCUUCAGUCCAAUGUUGAGGAAGCUAAGAGUUGAGGACAAGCCAUGACAGAGUAACUUAUUUUGGUUAAAAUGCUCAAAAAUCUCUUACUGCCCGUGGGAAAUCUAUAGCUUUUACCGUGCGUUAGAAGUAGAAAUCUCUGCUUUUCUACUAAUUUAUGUCCUUUUUAACCCUUUUGAGUGAAAUUUAUAACAUUAAUUCUUGGAUUUUUAACCCAGGUUUGAAUCUUAAUCUAUGACAACAACUGAAUAGCUUGAUCUUAGACCAUUUAGUUUUCUGGUGACUUAGAUUGUAUUCUAUCUUUGCUUAGUUUGUUAUGUUUUCAAAAGUUGGGAAAUAUUUUGCAUCCAAAAUAUCUCCUUGUUGGCCAAUUGUACUGAGGACUUUAUGGAUUUCUUUUUU